rnacentral:rRNA from 1 species
ACUUAAAUUGAAGAGUUUGAUCAUGGCUCAGAUUGAACGCUGGCGGCAGGCCUAACACAUGCAAGUCGAGCGGUAGCACAGAGAGCUUGCUCUCGGGUGACGAGCGGCGGACGGGUGAGUAAUGUCUGGGAAACUGCCUGAUGGAGGGGGAUAACUACUGGAAACGGUAGCUAAUACCGCAUAACGUCGCAAGACCAAAGUGGGGGACCUUCGGGCCUCAUGCCAUCAGAUGUGCCCAGAUGGGAUUAGCUAGUAGGUGGGGUAACGGCUCACCUAGGCGACGAUCCCUAGCUGGUCUGAGAGGAUGACCAGCCACACUGGAACUGAGACACGGUCCAGACUCCUACGGGAGGCAGCAGUGGGGAAUAUUGCACAAUGGGCGCAAGCCUGAUGCA